UAAGCAUAUCAAUAAGCGGAGGAAAAGAAACUAACAAGGAUUCCCUUAGUAACUGCGAGUGAAGCGGGAAGAGCUCAAAUUUAAAAUCUGGCGUGCCUCUGGCCGUUCGAGUUGUAGUUUGGAGAAGCGUUUUCCGUGUUGGACCGUGUAUAAGUUUCCUGGAACAGGGCGUCAUAGAGGGUGAGAAUCCCGUCUUUGACACGGACUACCAAUGCUUUGUGAUGCGCUCUCAAAGAGUCGAGUUGUUUGGGAAUGCAGCUCAAAAUGGGUGGUAAAUUCCAUUUAAAGCUAAAUAUAGGCGAGAGACCGAUAGCGAACAAGUACCGUGAGGGAAAGAUGAAAAGCACUUUGGAAAGAGAGUUAAACAGUACGUGAAAUUGCUGAAAGGGAAACGCUUGAAGUCAGUCACAUCUGCCAGGACUCAGCCUUGCUUUUGCUUGGUGCACUUUCUGGUUUGAUGGGCCAACAUCGAUUUUGACCGUUGGAGAAAGGCUUUGGGAAUGUGGCACCUUCGGGUGUGUUAUAGCCCUCUGUUGUAUACAACGGUUGGGAUCGAGGACCGCAGCACGCCUUCAUGGCCGGGGUCCGCCCACGUACGUGCUUAGGAUGUUGGCAUAAUGGCUUUAAGCGACCCGU
rnacentral:rRNA from 1 species